GGUCUCUCUUUCUCAUCCAGGCUGGAGUGCAGUGCUGUGAUCUUGGCUCAUUGCAACCUCCAUCUCACUGGCCCAGGUGAUCCUCCCACCUCAGCCUUUGGAGUAGCAGGGACUACAGAUUUGAGUGAAAGCAACAAAGGGUCCCCAGCUGCACAGGUAUUCCUCCAAACCAUUCUUGUCUUUUUCUCCUUUUCCUCCUUCCUUCUCACAUGAAUGUUUGAAUGUAUUCACAUAUUAAUUCAUUGUUUUGCAUGGGACAGGCACUAUGCUAGAAGCAGGGAACCCAGCAGGAAACCACAAAUAUGAAUUCUGCCCUCAAGGAUUGUCAGUCUAGAUAAGAAGGCAAACAAUACCCCCCCACAAAAAAUGUACAAUAAUUAUACAUGAACUAGCAUUGUGAUAAGUACUAUAAAGCUGGCAAAUAAAAAGGAGGUGGUGGUUCUUCUAUGGGGAGGAGGCAAAAGAGACUAAAAAAAAAAACUUGAGGUCUCAGGCUUUUUCCAUCUUGGUAUGGUUAGGCUCUGUGUCCCCACCCAAAUCUCAUCUUGAAUUAUACUCCCAUAAUUCUACUGGGAGGGACCCAGUAGAAGAUAAUUUGAAUAGUGGGGGCGGUUUCACUCAUAUUGUUCUCAUGGUAGUGAGUAAGUCUCACAAGAUCUGAUGGUUUUAUCAGGGGUUUCCACUUUUACAUUUUCCUCAUUUUCUCUUGCCACCACCAUGUAAGAAGUGCAUUUUGCCUCCCUCCAUGAUUCUGAGACCUCCUCAGCCAUGUGGCACUGUAAGUCCAGUUAAACCUCUUUUUCUUCACAGUCUUGGGUAUAUCUUUAUUAGCAGUGUGAAAAUGGACUAAUACAGUAAAUUGGUACCAGUAGAGUGGGGCGCUGCUGAAAAGAUACCAAAAAAUGUUAAAUCAAUUUUGGAACUGGAUAACAGGCAGAGGUUGGAACAGUUUGGAGGGCUCAGAAGAAGACAAGAAAAUGUGGGAAAGUUUGGAACUUCCUAGAGACUUAUUGAAUGGCUUUGACAAAAAUGCUGAUAGUGAUAUGAACAAUAAGGUCCAGGCUGAGGUGGUCUCAGAUGGAGAUGAGGAACUUGUUGGGAACUGGAGCAAAGGUGACUCUUGCUUUGUUUUAGCAAAGAGAAUGGCAACAUUUUGCCCCUGCUCUAAAGAUCUGUGGAACUUUGAAGUUGAGAGAGAUUAUUUAGAGUAUCUGGUGGAAGAAAUUUCUAAGCAGCAAAGCAUUCAAGGAGUGAUUUGGGUGCUUUUAAAGCAUUCAGUUUUGAAAGGGAAACAGCAUAAAAGUUUGGAAAUUUUUCAUGCUGAUGAUGAGAUAGAAAAGAAAAAAACACUUUCUGAGGAGAAUUCUAGGAGGCUGCAUAUAUUUGAGGUGCCGAAUGUCCCUCCCCAAGGCAUGUCAGAGGUCUUCACAGCAGCCCCUCCUAUCCCAGGCCUGGAGGUUUCAGUGGAGAAAAUGUUUUUUGUGGGCUAGUCCGAGGGUCUCCGUGCUGUGUGCAGCCUAGGGACUUGGUGCCCUGUGUCCCAGCUGCUCCAGCCAUGGCUGAAAGGGGCCAAUGCAGAGCUUAGGCCAUGGCUUCAAAGGGUGCAAGCCCCAACCUUGGCAGCUUCCAUGUAGUGUUGAGCCUGUGAUUGUACAGAAGUCAAGAAUUGAAAUUUGGGGACCUCUGCCUAGAUUUCAGAACAUAUAUGGAAACGCCUGGAUGCCCAGGCAGAAGUCUGCUGCAGGAGCAGGGCGCUCAUGGAGAACCUCUGCUAGGGCAAUGUGGAAGGGAAAUGUGGGGUCAGAGCCCCAACACAGAGUCCCUACUGUGGCACCACCUAGUGGAGCUAUGACAAGAGGGCCACUGUUCUCCAGACCCCAGAAGGGUAGAUCCACCGACAGCUUGCACCUUGCACAUGGAAAACCACAGACACUCAAUGCCAGCCCGUGAAAGCAGCUGAGAGGAAUGCUGUAUCCAGAAAAGCCACAGGGACAGAGCUUCCCUAGACCAUAAGAACCUACCUCUUACAUCGGCAUGACCCAGAUGCGAGACAUGGCGUCAAAGGAGAUAAUUUUGGAACUUUAAGACUUGACUGCACUGCUGGAUUUUGGACUUGCAUGGGGCUGGUAGCUACUUUGUUUUGGCCAAUUUCUCCCAUUUGGAAUGACUGUAUUUACCCAAUAUCUGUACCACCAUUGCGUCUAGGAUGUUACUAACUUGCUUUUGAUUUUACAGGCUCAUAGGCGGAAGGAACUUGCCUCGUCUCAGAUAAGUCUGUGGACUUUUGAGUUAAUGCUGAAAUGAGUUAAGACUUUGGGGGACUGUUAGGAAGACACGAUUGGUUUUGAAAUGUGAGGACAUGAUAUUUGGAGGGGCCAGGGGCAGAAUCGUAUGAUUUGGCUCUGUGUCUCCACCCAGAUCUCAUCUUGAAUUGUACUCCCAUAAUUGCCAGGGACCCAAUGGGAGAUAACUUGAAUCAUACUGGCUGUUUCCCCCAUACUGUUCUCGUGGUAGUGAAUAAGUUUCACAAGAUCUGAUCAUUUUAUCAGGGGUUUCCACUUCCAGAUCUCCUCAUUUUCUCUUGCUGCCACCAUGUAAGAAGUGCCUUUUGCCUCCUGCUAUGAUUCUGAGGCCUCCCCAGCCAUGUGGAAUUGUAAGUCCAAUUAAACCUCUUUUUCUUCCCA